rnacentral:rRNA from 1 species
AUUGAACGCUGGCGGCAUGCUUUACACAUGCAAGUCGAACGGCGGCACGGGUGCUUGCACCUGGUGGCGAGUGGCGAACGGGUGAGUAAUGCAUCGGAACGUGCCCAUGAGUGGGGGAUAGCCCGGCGAAAGCCGGAUUAAUACCGCAUACGCCCUUAGGGGGAAAGCGGGGGAUCUUCGGACCUCGCGCUAUUGGAGCGGCCGAUGUCGGAUUAGCUAGUAGGUGAGGUAAAGGCUCACCUAGGCGACGAUCCGUAGCUGGUCUGAGAGGAUGAUCAGCCACACUGGGACUGAGACACGGCCCAGACUCCUACGGGAGGCAGCAGUGGGGAAUUUUGGACAAUGGGCGCAAGCCUGAUCCAGCCAUGCCGCGUGAGUGAAGAAGGCCU